AUGAGUUCCAGAAGAAAGUGUUCCGGGCAGGAGUUCAGGGCAUGGGCAGCGGGAGGAGGCAGCGGGAAAAGCUGGAUAAUCCUGGCCUUGCGUCACCUCCCGCGGCCCCACGUGCACAGCUUGGUGGAGCUGUGUGAAGAUUUCCCUUUAUCCCAAAGGAAAUUUUCCAUUAUCUUCCCAGAAAAAAA
rnacentral:lncRNA from 12 species